rnacentral:rRNA from 1 species
AACUCCGUGCCAGCAGCCGCGGUAAUACGGAGGGUGCGAGCGUUAAUCGGAAUUACUGGGCGUAAAGCGCAUGCAGGCGGCCUGUUAAGUCAGAUGUGAAAGCCCGGGGCUUAACCUCGGAAUUGCAUUUGAAACUGGCAGGCUAGAGUCUUGUAGAGGGGGUAGAAUUUCAGGUGUAGCGGUGAAAUGCGUAGAGAUCUGAAGGAAUACCAGUGGCGAAGGCGGCCCCCUGGACAAAGACUGACGCUCAGAUGCGAAAGCGUGGGGAGCAAACAGGAUUAGAUACCCUGGAG